AGAGUUUGAUCCUGGCUCAGGAUGAACGCUAGCGGCAGGCUUAACACAUGCAAGUCGAGGGGUAACAGAGGUAGCUUGCUACUUGCUGACGACCGGCGCACGGGUGAGUAACGCGUAUGCAACCUACCUUUUACUGGGGGAUAGGCAGAAGAAAUUCUGAUUAAUACCCCAUAAUAUUGAGAUUCGGCAUUGAAUUUUGAUUAAAGUUUCGGCGGUAAAAGAUGGGCAUGCGUUUUAUUAGUUAGUUGGUAAGGUAACGGCUUACCAAGACUACGAUAAAUAGGGGUCCUGAGAGGGAGAUCCCCCACACUGGUACUGAGACACGGACCAGACUCCUACGGGAGGCAGCAGUGAGGAAUAUUGGACAAUGGGCGAGAGCCUGAUCCAGCCAUGCCGCGUGCAGGAAGACGGCCCUAUGGGUUGUAAACUGCUUUUAUACAGGAAGAAACCUUCUCACGUGUGAGAAGCUGACGGUACUGUAAGAAUAAGCACCGCUAACU
rnacentral:rRNA from 1 species